CCUACGGGAGGCAGCAGUAGGGAAUCUUCCACAAUGGGCGCAAGCCUGAUGGAGCAACACCGCGUGAGUGAAGAAGGGUUUCGGCUCGUAAAGCUCUGUUGUUGGAGAAGAACGUGCGUGAGAGUAACUGUUCACGCAGUGACGGUAUCCAACCAGAAAGUCACGGCUAACUACGUGCCAGCAGCCGCGGUAAUACGUAGGUGGCAAGCGUUAUCCGGAUUUAUUGGGCGAAAAGCGAGCGCAGGCGGUUGCUUAGGUCUGAUGUGAAAGCCUUCGGCUUAACCGGAGAAGUGCAUCGGAAACCGGGCAACUUGAGUGCAGAAGAGGACAGUGGAACUCCAUGUGUAGCGGUGGAAUGCGUAGAUAUAUGGAAGAACACCAGUGGCGAAGGCGGCUGUCUGGUCUGCAACUGACGCUGAGGCUCGAAAGCAUGGGUAGCGAACAGGAUUAGAUACCCCAGUAGUC
rnacentral:rRNA from 1 species